rnacentral:lncRNA from 12 species
AGGAUGUGCAAAAGCCCAGAGACAACAGGGCACAAGGGAAGACAGAGGAACUGAGUUUCUUCAGCAUGGCUGUCAGCAAGGAGGCCAGCUAGUAGGAUCUGAGGGACCAGAUACAGCAGAAGUGCCUAUAGUGGCUGCUGCUGAGGCCUCUGAUGCCAUGCAUGUGCCAAAAAGCCAAGAAGAGCCCCUGCAAAGUCACCUGGAAAACUACAUCCCAUCACAGCCAAAGCUGCCAAGUCUUGCUCCUGCUGAUGCCCAGUCUGCCAGAAUGCAGGCACCAAGCCUGUAUCUGCUCAUUCUGCCUAGAACAUGUUACACAGCUGUCUUGAUACAGUAAGGAAACUAACCUAGAGCAUUGACUUGUCACAGUGACAGGAACUGGAAGCCCUCAGCAGUGUGGUGACAAGGGUAAGUCUCUGACACAGGUUUUCUUCCUUGGAAUUCAUUGAUCCUAGGACAACUGCUUCUCAGUUGCAACAUUAUUUUCCCUGAGAACCAGCCUCCACCCUACUUCCAACACACACCCACUCCCAGGCCAAUAGAAGGGGCAAAGGAGAUUAAGCAGCCU